ACGUGCUUCUUGGUGCUGACGGUGAAUGGAAAUUAUGUGAUUUUGGUAGUGUCUCAACAAACCAUAAGUGCUUUGAUAAACCAGAUAAAAGGGGCAUUGAAGAAGAUAUUAUCAGAAAGCAUACCACUCCUGCAUAUAGAGCUCCUGAGAUGUGGGACUUGUACAGGAGGGAAAUUAUUCGUGAGAAAGUAGAUAUAUAAGUAAGCGACCCUGCAGUCAUUACACCAAAAAAGCUUUUGGAUGUCUCUUAUAUAUAAUCCGCUACUUAAAGUCAGCUUUUGAUGGAGAAUCAAAGCUCCAGAUACUCGAUGGGAACUAUCGUAUCCCAGAAUUACCGAAGUACAAUUCUUCCAUUACAAAUCUUAUCGAAGAGAUGCUUCAGUCAUCUCCAGGUGCCAGACCGGACAUUACACAGGCAAGAGCUUUGCUUGAUUGGUCACUCACUUCCAUGAAUUUAGGUAUGGUUUCGUGUUAAUGAAUUACUUCCUCUGGAGCUGCGAAAGGAUUUGCCUGUUUGAUACCCGUAUGGAUCAGCAUUUGAAUUGCAUAUUACUGAGGAUGAAGGUUUGGCUUCUACGAUCUUGUCCUUUUGAAGAAUUGAAGCCACUGUUCACUGAGUCGGCUGCCCCAGGAGAGAUCCCCUUCACCGUCAACAGACAGCAUGAAGAAUACACCCUCCAAAGAUCCUUUCAGUUUGAGGU